rnacentral:rRNA from 1 species
UACGGGGGGAGCAAGCGUUGUUCGGAAUUACUGGGCGUAAAGGGCUCGUAGGCGGCCAACUAAGUCAUACGUGAAAUCCCUCAGCUUAACUGGGGAACUGCGUGUGAUACUGGAUGGCUUGGAUUUGGGAGAGGGAUGCGGAAUUCCAGGUGUAGCGGUGAAAUGCGUAGAUAUCUGGAGGAACACCGGUGGCGAAGGCGGCAUCCUGGACCAAUAUUGACGCUGAGGAGCGAAAGCCAGGGGAGCAAACGGG